rnacentral:rRNA from 1 species
AACGCAGCGAAAUGCGAUAAGUAAUGCGAAUUGCAGAAUUCAGUGAAUCAUCGAAUCUUUGAACGCACAUGGCGCCCGCUAGUAUUUCUGGCGGGCAUGCCUGUCUGAGCGUCGUUUCGACCCUCGCCCCCGGCGUCUGUCGGGGGCGGUGUUGGGGAUCGGCCACCACCCUUCACUGGGCGGCCGUCCCCUAAAUUCAGUGGCGACCACGCUGUAGCCUCCCCUGCGUAGUACUAAAACCACCUCGCAGGCGGAGAGCGGUGCGGCCCGCCGUAAAACCCCCCAAACUUUACAAGGCGACCUCAGUCAGGAGGAA